AGGGUCGAAAGACGGACUUAGUGAUCCGGUGGUUCCGCAUGGAAGGGCCAUCGCUCAACGGAUAAAAGCUACCCCGGGGAUAACAGGCUUAUCUCCCCCAAGAGUUCACAUCGACGGGGAGGUUUGGCACCUCGAUGUCGGCUCAUCGCAUCCUGGGGCUGUAGUCGGUCCCAAGGGUUGGGCUGUUCGCCCAUUAAAGCGGUACGCGAGCUGGGUUCAGAACGUCGUGAGACAGUUCGGUCCCUAUCCGUCGUGGGCGUAGGAAAUUUGAGAGGAGCUGUCCUUAGUACGAGAGGACCGGGAUGGACAUACCUCUGGUGUACCAGUUGUCGUGCCAACGGCAUAGCUGGGUAGCUAUGUGUGGACGGGAUAAGUGCUGAAAGCAUCUAAGCAUGAAGCCCCCCUCAAGAUGAGAUUUCCCAACUUCGGUUAUAAGAUCCCUCAAAGAUGAUGAGGUUAAUAGGUUCGAGGUGGAAGCAUGGUGACAUGUGGAGCUGACGAAUACUAA
rnacentral:rRNA from 1 species